GUUGGCUUAGCUGCCUGUCUUCCGUGCGGUUCUCAGUGGCGGGUCUCUCCUACGCCCAGGAGUGACAGCCUCGUGAGUCGAGCGGUCCACUCAUCAGGAAGAGCUCACUGCCUUCAUCCGCAGACAGUGUGCCGGGAACUUAGGCCGCGUAGGUGAAGAGAACACAUUCUUGCCACGGGAGAGAAGAAAUGGCCUGCUGAGUUAUCCUUCUGGAAGCCAAGCUGUUUCGGGAGCUGUACCCUGGAGGUGACUCCAGACACGCUGCCUGCUUCCCAGGGAGGUUACGGGAUCCAGUGUGAGCUGCUGGCAUGGCGGGGGAGGAGGGGCUCCGCGGUCCUGAGGCCAUCAGGCCCUUUGCUGGGUGGUUCCCAGCUCAAGGCCAGCAUCACUGCCCCUCACGCUGACCCCAGUGGCUCAGCUCCUCGUGCUGCCAGCCUCCUUCGUGCCCAUCUGAAAGUCACCUUUUCCAGCUGCCCGGAGCUGCCGGCCAGGGGAGGACGUAGUGACCUGGUGACUAUGGCACUCAGGCUGGAAAGACGCAGGGAGGAGGCCUGGGCCUAUUUGUCAUCGUUCCUGUUGCCACUUCAUAGUCUUUAUUAUUAG
rnacentral:lncRNA from 1 species